rnacentral:rRNA from 1 species
UGGGGAAUCUUGCGCAAUGGGCGAAAGCCUGACGCAGCGACGCCGCGUGAGUGAUGAAGGCCUUCGGGUUGUAAAGCUCUGUGGGGAGAGACGAAUAAGUGCAGCCUAAUACGUUGCAUGAUGACGGUAUCUCCUUAGCAAGCACCGGCUAACUCUGUGCCAGCAGCCGCGGUAAGACAGAGGGUGCAAACGUUGUUCGGAAUUACUGGGCGUAAAGCGAGUGUAGGCGGUCUGCUAAGUCGGGUGUGAAAGCCCUGGGCUCAACCCAGGAAGUGCACUCGAAACUGGCAGGCUAGAGUACUGGAGAGGUUGGUGGAAUUCUCGGUGUAGAGGUGAAAAUUUGUAGAUAUCGAGAGGAACACCGGUGGCGAAGGCGGCCAACUGGACAGAUACUGACGCUGAGACUCGAAAGCGUGGGGAGCAAACAGGAUUAGAUACCCUGGUAGUCCACGCCGUAAACGAUGGGUGCUAGGUGUCGCGGG